rnacentral:rRNA from 1 species
AUUGAACGCUGGCGGCAGGCCUAACACAUGCAAGUCGAACGAGUGGCGGACGGGUGAGUAACGUCUGGGAAACUGCCUGAAGGCUGGGGUUAACUCCUGGAAACGGUAGCUAAUACCGCAUACCAUCAGAUGUGCCAAGAUGGGAUUAGCUUGUUGGUGGGGUAACGGCUGACCAAGGCGACGAUCCCUAGCUGGUCUGAGAGGUUGACCAGCCACAUUGGAACUGAGACACGGUCCAGACGCCUACGGGAGGCAGCAGUGGGGAAUAUUCCACAAUGGGCGCAAGCCUGAUGCAGCAAUGCCGCGUGUAUGAUGAAGGCCUUCGGGUUGUAAAGUACUUUCAGCGGGGAGGCGUUACCCACAGAGAAAGCACCGGCUAACUCCGUGCCAGCAGCAGCGGGAAUAC